rnacentral:lncRNA from 10 species
AAUUUUGGAACAUAAAAAUAAGAUACUUAAAAGUCAUCUUUGAAAUGAUAAUCAAGAAACAGCAGCUAUGAAGCCUUGAAUUUUGAAAAAAAGACAAGAAGGUGCAAAAGGGAUUCAAGACGUCUGACUAGAGGCAUCUAGCAUUUGCCUCCUCCACAAAGAAGAACCAAAAUAGUGAGUGAUCACACUUCUAAUAGAUAAUCUAAAAAAGAAUACUGGAAUUCAACAGAGAAGUAACAGGAAACACCUAACGCAAGGAAAGAGAGGGAAGAGAGGCAGCCUGCCUGGCUAGGGUUGGCUGGGAACCUCAAAGAGGCUCCACAAUGUGGGAAAAAGAUAAUAUGAUCUUAUAUUUAGAAAAAUCUAAAGACUUCACCAAAAAUCUCCCAUCAGUAAAUUUAGUAAAGUUGCAGGAGACAAAAUUAA